ensembl:lncRNA
GUAGGGGGAAACCUAACCUGCUACGAGGGAGGUUAAAGAAGGAUAUAUUAUGCCAAGGUUUUAUUAUAUUAAGCUAAGUUUUUAUGUUGUUGCUUUGUUUCUUUUGAAAGUGUGUGUGAAUUAUGGUCAUUCGGACCUCAACUCUCCUGGCAAGAGAACUGACAAACUGUCAGAAUAAUCUGGGAGGUGAUUAAGGUUAUCAAACUUCAUCCUUUGUCGUGUCGGGUUUUGAUUUGAUUCGAUGCGUUUGCUGAUGAGCCUCCCUGCAGUCAGGUAGUGGGGUGUCCUCGUCUUCCUUCUUCUCCCCCUGCUGCUGCUGCUGCUGCUGCUUGCCUGUGAUUGCUGGAAGACUCAUCUUGGGGGGAGAUUGUGGCUGUCAGGAUGGCUCUCUCUCGUAUUAGUGCUAAUCUCCCCACCAAGCAACUUCAUCCACGCCAAUUAGUCAUGCCUCUGAACACUUCCAGCUCGGGAGGCAGGCAGUAUUGACGCGCUCGUGGCCCCAAAGAUCAUCGCCCAGAAAAGGACGCUCAGAGAAAGAGAGCAAGGCGAGCGUUAUGAACGCUCUUCCUCAGGGGAGACCACUCUUUUCAUCUAAGAGAUUAGUUUGUGUGUGGAUGUGUCCUAUUUCCUUUAUCUUUUUUUGAGGGGGGGAGUACAUAUUUUGUCUUUUUUUUUUUGUCUUCUUUCUUUAAACUGUGGGUUUGUGUAAAUGUUAAUUAACCUCAAGCUGUUAUGAUGAUGCAGUAAUCAUAUUCAUUAUUCUGCCUUUAAAGUGCAAUCACUGUUGGAGACCUUUUUUUCCAUCAGAAAAUCCUACACUCAGCUGAUCUCUAAAUGCACUUAUGUAAUGUGAUCAUACAUUCAUUUUUUUUAUUUUUCUCUGCCUCCCCCGGGACAUUUGGCUGUCCUAGGUUAUGUAAGAGGAAAUUGUGACUAUACUCCGUGAAACUGCUGUUAAUAGAAUGUCAAAGCCCACAACUACAUACUAUGAGUAGUGUACGUAGAACUGUCACUUCCCCAUUCUUGAAAAGACACAGACCACGCAACUCACACGGAGCCGGUACGAAGAGAAUUGUGGCCUGUGUUAGGAAGUGAAGGUUUUCAGUGAUGAGCAGCAUGAGUCACAUUUUCAGUUAAAAUGUCUAAUUUUAUUUCAACAAUAACUUAUAUUAGCUGUAUUACAAUUCAGAUACUACUACCACUACUACUAC